rnacentral:rRNA from 1 species
GCCCGGCCUUAACAAAACAAUCAAAUAACUAAUUGUUCGCCAAAUAACUACGAGUAAAAACUUAAAAUUUAAAAGACUUGACGGUACUUCACACCAACCUAGAGGAGCCUGUCUAAUAACCGAUGAUCCACGAUUAACCCAACCCUCUCUAGCCUAACAGACUAUAUACCGCCGUCGCCAGCUUACCUUGUGAAGGAAACUAAGUAAGCCAAACAACACCACGUUAACACGACAGGUCGAGGAGUAACUAAUGAGAUGGACCAAGAUGGGCACAUUACUUCACAGAAAACAAACGGACAAACUAUGAAACUAGAAACUGAAGG